AAUCCUCUGAGGCUUUAGAAGCUGAAACAAAGACAAGGACCCUUCAGAGACAUGAAGAACAGAAGCUUGUUGUCAUGGAAAAAGAAAAUUUGAUGUGAGAAAGAGCAAGGCUUCAGCAGCAGCCAAACACCAAGUUCCAGACUCAAGCUCAAGUACGUGACAGGCAGAAGUGCAGAAGCUGUCGCUAACAAACUGGAGCACCUGGGUUUGCCAAGAUAAACGCCACAGGCAAGACAGCCUUUUUCCUAAGUCAAGAUUCCAUCAGAGUAUCAUUAACUUCAUGGAAAUUGUUUUAAGGUACAUGGCAUCCUGUCGGGAUCAAGGGGAGUGCAACAUGCAGCACUAGUGACAUGGGCCUGAAACAGACUGUGACAUUGCUGUUGCGAGGAAUGUCACUGUAGACGCUUGUGAUAGCUCAGAGGAUAACGAUCCCCUCUCCUCUGUAUACCGGAGCAAUCGUUCCUGAAAUAUAUCCAGCUCAGGGUGAGUGCUUUUGGUUUCACCUUCAAAUAGUGUGUGUGUGUGAGUUGCAGCUUGCCUGCUUUCUGUCUGCCACUGCGCCUGUUAGAGGGGGUUACCUGUUCUCUCAAGCACAGUGUCACAGGCAUGCGUGCCACCGUUACGUACUGCGUGAGGACUGGCUGAGAGGGUAGGGUGGCCUUGGCAGGUAAAAUAAUAAAAAUGGUAUCAACCUUCAUACUGAGUGUAAGGCCACGAUUUAUGUCGCAGCAAUGACUUCUGUCUGUUAAGUCUGGGAGCUCAUCAGUAAGAAAUACCAGGGAAGAAGGAAGCUCUGGUUUUAUUAACUCAAGGAAAGUAAGAGCGAGUUAGUAACUCAGUGGGAUAUUAGGACAACAUGACACGAAGUAUUUCUGAUGGAGGUGGUGGUUUUGAAAGUUCCCCGGAGUAUUAGAAAGCCUUCACCUGGAAUUGUCUGCAUUAGUCAAAGCCCCCACAUUCAGGAAAGGUUAAUUUAAAACAAAUUCACGGAGAUGCUGCUGAAGGACUGGAAGAGGAUGCCCUUUGUAGGAGAGAAACUGCCAAGAGCUCCCCGUUGUGUAGCCAGUAUAGCACAUGCUGAGGCAGGAUCUCAUUUUUUGUUGUUCUUGAAUCUCAGAAGUAACUACCAGGAAACAAAACCAACAUGUUUAGCUACAAGAAAGUCUUGAAAAGGUACCU